rnacentral:rRNA from 1 species
GUCCUCUUGAUUUAUUUAUGAGGUCAGGCCUGCCCGGUGAAUAUUAAGUUUUAACGGCCGCGGUAUUUUGACCGUGCAAAGGUAGCAUAAUCAUUAGUCUUUUAAUUGGAGGCUGGAAUGAAGGGCUUGACGAGGUGUUAACUGUCUCAUUUAAUUUGAUAUUAAAAUUUAACUUUUCAGUUAAAAGGCUGAAAUUAUAUUGGAAGACGAGAAGACCCUAUAGAGCUUUAUAAUUAUAAAGUAUAAUUAGUUGUUGUUAAAUUAUUAUUUUUCAUGCUUUUAAUUAUUUUGUUGGGGUGAUAAAAAUACAAAAAUAACUUUUUUAUUUAAAAAUCAUUGAUAUAUGAAUUAUUAGAUCCAAUUUUAUUGAUUGUUAGAUUAAGUUACC